AGAGAAUUGGAUUUGGGGUUAGUCAUAAUUCUGGUUCCUGCCAUAGUCAUCACUGUUGCAUUUAACAUGAGGUCUGCUUUUAGUGAGUUAGUUCUUGAAUUAAUAAGUUUUUAAUAAUGUAAUAAGCCUGAUGGACCUACCACCUCAAACAAAAAAGCAAAGCCCUUGACAAUAACCUCCAUGCAGCCCUGCGGCCCAUCCCACCCUGUCUCCUUGCCUCCCCACACCCAGAAUAACCAGGCUCCUGCAGUUCUGGACCGGAUUGGAGGCACUGCUGUCACAGAGUCUACAUUGGGUGACCCUUCUUGCAUUGAAAGCUAAAUCUUCUCUGUUGCGAAUUCUAUGGUGACACGUCUCAUGCUUAACUGGUCUAUCCUAUCAGGAU
rnacentral:lncRNA from 1 species